UGCCUACGGGGGGCAGCAGUGGGGGAUAUUGCACAAUGGGGGAAACCCUGAUGCAGCGACGCCGCGUGUGGGAAGACGGUCCUCUGGAUUGUAAACCACUGUCCCCAGGGACGAAGAUGACGGUACCUGGGGAGGAAGCUCCGGCUAACUACGUGCCAGCAGCCGCGGUAAUACGUAGGGAGCGAGCGUUGUCCGGAAUUACUGGGUGUAAAGGGAGCGUAGGCGGGACUGCAAGUUGGGUGUCAAAUCUACCGGCUCAACCGGUAGCCGCACUCAAAACUGCAGUUCUUGAGUGAAGUAGAGGG
rnacentral:rRNA from 1 species